rnacentral:lncRNA from 1 species
GUACUCGUUGGAUAUACCCAUCAAUUUAUUUAUUUUGCAAGAUUUUCUUAUAAAACAAGCACUUUAUCAAUUCCAUCAAACACAUAAAAACUCAAAAUAAAUAAUACUACUAUUCAACGUCACAAACAAAUUAUAAAUUUCACAAUUAAAACUGAAAUAUAUCUUCUAAUAAAAACUCUACCAAACAUAUAAAAAUACAACCGGGGCAGGAUCGGGGUGGGUACUUAUACCCCGAACCCGACCCUGGUAUAAGUUUCAUGCCUGCCCUCGAAAUUUCACACCCAUACGCAACCUAUUAG